UUGCAAGCACUUGAGGAGGUUGAGGAGCUGAGAUGCAUGCUAGCUUGCAAAUAUUUUGUCCACUACUUGAUCAUAUAUCAAAAGCUCUUGAAGAUCAGGUGAAUUUUAAGUUAGAACUUGUGAUGGUGUGUUUAAGAAUCCAUUUGUGCAGGUUGUUAACAAAGAUGCUUGACUCUCAAAUCUUGAACUAUCAACCCCCAGAAGAAUAGGUACAAAUCAAUGCAACAGUUUAUCUACUGAGAUUCAGAGAUUGAAGGACCAGAAGGUGUCAUAUUAUUUGCUUUGGAUGAAUUUUCAGGUCUCAAUGUCUUUUGAUCUAGACUCCACUUUGACUUGUGUGGUACUAAAAUUUACUAUAUACUAAUUCUCAGUUAACUGUUCAUCGGCUUAGUAACAGUGCCAGCUCGAGCCGAGCCGGUAUCGUGAAAUGACCGUUUUGCCCUCCAUUCUUUGCUUAAUUACGGUGUUCUGUUUGACCUGGAUAUAAAAGGUGUUGAGGGUGAUAAACGCGGUUUGUUUCCUCUCUCUUUCUCUCUUCGUUCUUAGCUCGGCUCUGCGCAUCUGAAGGGGCUUGAUCAGGUUUCGGUGUCUCUGGGUUUUGAAUAAUCGUGCUAGACCAAUCGUUGGUGAUCUGCUACAAGUAUAAUCUAAAGAACCAACGCCUACUUUCGGGAAGCAUCGGUGAAGACCGACCUCCGCUGCUGCGCUGUUGCAACCUCUCUGACGUCGACAUGAAUCCAAACAGAUGCGAGAACAAAAUGGAUGUCUUCAUUCAUGAAAUGGAACCUUACAAAUCAGAAUACAAGAUCAGAGUUCGUAUAUCAAGAGUGUGGAGAGCAAAGCAAUAUAAUACUGACAAGAAUGAUGGUCUCCACUCUGUCUUGAUUGAUGAAAAGGGUGACGCUAUUCAAUUAUUCAUGCAAUUAUCAGUGAAUCUGACUACCCUUUAGUUCACAAAAAAAAAUACAACAAGGCAAGGUUUAUGACAUUCAGAAUUUCUUUACACGAAAAAACCAGGAAAACUACAAGAUUCUUGAUCAUCGGAGUCAAGUCCGUUUCAAUGCACUGACUGUCUUUGAAGCAGUUGAAGGAAACUGCCCAGAAAUUCCAGAGCAUCGAUUCUAUUUAGUAGAAUUUGAUCAACUCGAAGCACGCAUGAAUGAUCAUACAAUUCUAACAGGAUGUGUAUGGCUGUUUGAAGUCGAUUGUACCACCACAUGAGACAACUGUGAACUGUCAAGGAUAGAGAGUCAAAAUGUGAAAGACAAGAGUCAAAAUGUGAAAUCCAUUUGCAGAAUUUAAGAAGAGAGGACUUGAGAAUUACACUCUGGGGCAACACUGCUAGACAAGUCGACAUGGAAACAAUUAGAAAAGCUUCUCCACCAGUGCUGAUGGCAUUAACCAGUUUAAAAAUCAAAGAGUACUUGAACAAACCUGCCCCAUCAAAUACAAGCAACACCUGUAUUUUCAUCAAUCCAAAGAUCCCAGAAACAAACAAGUACAGGCUUCAGUUCUCAAAACUGGUUGAUAGAGUGCAAAUACUUCCAACACCAUUCAAACAGCCAACAUCAGAAGAAAUCCAGGAAACCAAUAUGAAAACAGUGACUCGAUUGAACAUAUUGGAUCCAUUGUCAUACAAGGAACAAAUGGUGUAUUGCAAUGCUUCAAUUUCCAGAUUUGCAACACACAACGGUUGGUGGUAUAAAGCCUUGCUGUUAUCGAGAAUUAAGAGAACAAGAACAUGACAAUCAACUUAGCUGCUCACAUCAUGGGAAGCAAGAAAUUCUUGUUUCAGAGUCUACAUGACUAUCACAGAUGGUCAAAAUGAGGCAACGGUUAUCAUAAUGGGAAAACAAGCAGAGAAACUGUUUGGAAGUAAUUGCAAAGAUUUGGUCAGCAAAAGAUCCUACCCAACAGAAGCAACAUUACCAGAGGAGAUGGAGAAAACAAGAGGCCAAAAGUUCUUUUUCAGCUCAAGAUAACGGAAGAUAGUGAGCUAAUAAUCAAAGCAGUCUUCCCACAUAUGGAAUCCUCUGUACCACCUUGGAAUCCUCUGUACCACCUUUUGAAAACGACCCAGCAACUAUGACUCCAGAUCCUGUUCCUUUUCAAAGAAUCAGCAACUCUCUGACAAGUAAAAGAGGAUUAUUCAGAUCUAAACCAGACAAGAAAUCUAGAAGUGAGAGAGAAGCAGAGGAAGAUGAAACCACAUCGUCAUCAGCUGAAAACAAAAAGACUGUUUAAUGCAGGAUAACUGUGGUGUACAGUGUUUUGAUGAAGUAAUCGAUUUUGUGUAGCUGCAAUCACAAGUACAGUUGGAACCACCACUGUUUUUGAACAAGCUCCACAAUCUCACAAGAUUGCAGCAACAAUCUUUUUGUAAAUCUGCAACUAUAAUAGCUAAUCUGACUAUGCAGCUAGCUUUUUUGUAAAGCUGCAGCUGAAAUGCCUAACGUUAUUGUGCAUCAAGCAAUUUUUGGAUGACUUCGAAGGAAAUCAAUUGUGUAACAAAUGUAGAAUGUACAUGUACUCUUUUAUCAAAUGAAUAUAAUGUAACAAUUCUCCCUCUA